rnacentral:rRNA from 1 species
UGCCUACGGGAGGCAGCAGUCGGGAAUAUUGCGCAAUGGAGGAAACUCUGACGCAGUGACGCCGCGUAUAGGAAGAAGGUCUUCGGAUUGUAAACUAUUGUCAUUAGGGAAGAGAAAGGACAGUACCUAAAGAGGAAGCUCCGGCUAACUACGUGCCAGCAGCCGCGGUAAUACGUAGGGAGCAAGCGUUAUCCGGAUUUAUUGGGUGUAAAGGGUGCGUAGACGGGAAUGUAAGUUAGUUUUGAAAUCCCUCGGCUCAACUGAGGAAUUGGAACUAAAACUGCAUUUCUUGAGUGCAGGAGAGG